AACGAACGCUGGCGGCAGGCCUAACACAUGCAAGUCGAACGAAGUCUUCGGACUUAGUGGCGCACGGGUGAGUAACACGUGGGAAUAUACCUUACGCUGGGGGAUAACAUCGGGUAACUGAUGCUAAUACCGCAUACGCCCUUCGGGGGAAAGAUUUAUCGGCGAAAGAUUAGCCCGCGUCCGAUUAGCUAGUUGGUGAGGUAAUGGCUCACCAAGGCUCCGAUCGGUAGCUGGUCUGAGAGGAUGACCAGCCACACUGGGACUGAGCCACGGCCCAGAAUACUAGGGGAGGAAGCAGUGGGGAAUAUAGGAAAAUCGGCGCAGGACUGAUGCAGCCCGGCCGGGUGAGUGAUGAAGGCGUUAGGGUAGUAAAGCUCUUUCACCCACGGCGAUGAUGACGGUAGUGGGAGAAGAAGCCCCGGCUAACUUCGUG
rnacentral:rRNA from 1 species